rnacentral:rRNA from 1 species
GACGUGGGGGGCCAGCGUUGUUCGGAAUUACUGGGUGUAAAGGGUUCGUAGGCGGUGUGGCAAGUCGGGAGUGAAAUCUCUAGGCUCAACCUAGAGUCUGCUUCCGAAACUGCUGUGCUUGAGUGUGGGAGAGGCGCGUGGAAUUGCAGGUGUAGCGGUGAAAUGCGUAGAUAUCUGCAGGAACACCCGUGGCGAAAGCGGCGCGCUGGACCACUACUGACGCUGAGGCGCGAAGGCUAGGGGAGCGAACGGG